rnacentral:rRNA from 1 species
AGUCGGACGGUAGCACAGAGGAGCUUGCUCCUCGGGUGACGAGUGGCGGACGGGUGAGUAAUGUCUGGGGAUCUGCCCGAUAGAGGGGGAUAACCACUGGAAACGGUGGCUAAUACCGCAUAACGUCGCAAGACCAAAGAGGGGGACCUUCGGGCCUCUCACUAUCGGAUGAACCCAGAUGGGAUUAGCUAGUAGGCGGGGUAACGGCCCACCUAGGCGACGAUCCCUAGCUGGUCUGAGAGGAUGACCAGCCACACUGGAACUGAGACACGGUCCAGACUCCUACGGGAGGCAGCAGUGGGGAAUAUUGCACAAUGGGCGCAAGCCUGAUGCAGCCAUGCCGCGUGUAUGAAGAAGGCCUUCGGGUUGUAAAGUACUUUCAGCGGGGAGGAAGGCGAUGUGGUUAAUAACCGCAUUGAUUGACGUUACCCGCAGAAGAAGCACCGGCUAACUCCGUGCCAGCAGCCGCGGGUAAUACGGAGGGUGCAAGCGUUAAUCGGAAUUACUGGGCGUAAAGCGCACGCAGGCGGUCUGUUAAGUCAGAUGUGAAAUCCCCGGGCUUAACCUGGGAACUGCAUUUGAAACUGGCAGGCUUGAGUCUCGUAGAGGGGGGUAGAAUUCCAGGUGUAGCGGUGAAAUGCGUAGAGAUCUGGAGGAAUACCGGUGGCGAACGCGGCCCCCUGGACGAAGACUGACGCUCAGGUGCGAAAGCGUGGGGAGCAAACAGGAUUAGAUACCCUGGUAGUCCACGCCGUAAACGAUGUCGACUUGGAGGUUGUUCCCUUGAGGAGUGGCUUCCGGAGCUAACGCGUUAAGUCGACCGCCUGGGGAGUACGGCCGCAAGGUUAAAACUCAAAUGAAUUGACGGGGGCCCGCACAAGCGGUGGAGCAUGUGGUUUAAUUCGAUGCAACGCGAAGAACCUUACCUACUCUUGACAUCCACAGAAUUUAGCAGAGAUGCUUUAGUGCCUUCGGGAACUGUGAGACAGGUGCUGCAUGGCUGUCGUCAGCUCGUGUUGUGAAAUGUUGGGUUAAGUCCCGCAACGAGCGCAACCCUUAUCCUUUGUUGCCAGCGAUUCGGUCGGGAACUCAAAGGAGACUGCCGGUGAUAAACCGGAGGAAGGUGGGGAUGACGUCAAGUCAUCAUGGCCCUUACGAGUAGGGCUACACACGUGCUACAAUGGCGCAUACAAAGAGAAGCGACCUCGCGAGAGCAAGCGGACCUCAUAAAGUGCGUCGUAGUCCGGAUCGGAGUCUGCAACUCGACUCCGUGAAGUCGGAAUCGCUAGUAAUCGUGGAUCAGAAUGCCACGGUGAAUACGUUCCCGGGCCUUGUACACACCGCCCGUCACACCAUGGGAGUGGGUUGCAAAAGAAGUAGGUAGCUUAACCUUCGGGAGGGCGCU